rnacentral:rRNA from 1 species
UACAGAGGGUGCAAGCGUUGUUCGGAAUUAUUGGGCGUAAAGCGCGUGUAGGCGGCUUGGCAAGUCGGGUGUGAAAUCCCUCAGCUUAACUGAGGAAGUGCGCCCGAAACUGCUUUGCUUGAGUGCCGGAGAGGAUGGCGGAAUUCCCCAAGUAGAGGUGAAAUUCGUAGAUAUUAGCAGGAACACCGGUGGCGAAGGCGGCUAUCUGGACGACAACUGACGCUGGAGGCGCGAAAGUGUGGGGAUCGAACAGGG